rnacentral:lncRNA from 1 species
AGAGACAACAUGCUGAGAGAGCAGAGGAGACCCUCCAGGCAAGGGCAGACUCCUUGCAGGGGCAGGCUGGGGGCCCCCGCUGCCUGCUGGGUCAGGCUGGUGAAUCUGGUCAUGGUUCCGCCCCCCAGAUUCACUCCCUAGGUGUGUUUGUUUACUGGUUCCUCACUGUCUUGCUCAAAUGCUCCAACUCUACAAAUCCCGGGAUCUCGGGGUGCAGAUCACCUCUCCCAGAUUCCUGAGCCUGUGUCUGGCCAUGGGCACCUCCAGCAUCUUCCUCUGCGUGCUGUUCCUCUGUGGGGCACUGGGUCUCACCAUGUCCCCUGCCCGGGGAAGGCUCCGCUGCUACAUCUGUGGCUUCACCAAACCCUGCCACCCUGUUCCCACCGAGUGUCGGGACGAUGAAGCUUGUGGCAUCAGUAUUGGCACUUCAGAUGCCCAUUGCUGAUGCCCCGUGUCAGCCCAGGUCACUGGCAAGGCAGGCAUUUUGAUGACACUGUGGAUCUCAGGCAAGGGGAUCAAAGGAGCAUCAGGUAUGGUAAGGAGGAGAGUCUUGCUAGGAAAGACUAAUGUG